ACCAUUUAAUUGGUUUUUCAUUACGCACAAGCCUUUCUACUUUUACUAAAGACUUCCGCGGAGAGGAACACUUACGGAAGUUCAAACGUAUUUUUGAAAGGGCUUUGCUUUCUGGCAGAGC